UCUCUUAAUUUGCUUUUACUUAACAAACUAGAACAAAAGAAUAAAAGAACUAGUCCUGAAAGAAAGAGAGGAGACAGAGGGAAUGAAAUUAGGGAUCGUAGGAUCACGUAAAAGGAAGAAGGAUCCACAGAAAAGGCAGAAGAGAGUAGGAUUUGAGACUGGAUGAAACUAACAUAACUGGAGGGCCAUGUGUGGCAGAGUUAGACCAAAAAAAAAAAGGAAUGACAAUUGGAUAUCUUUGCAGAGUUAAGUUUUGAGCAACUUUAUGGCUUUAAGUGCUUUUUUAAAGGUUAUAUCUCUAUCUCUAGUGCCUAUGGCAUAGUAAAAACACUCACUAAGUGACCAUACAGCAGGGUCUCCAAACUUUGACAAAGGUGAACACAGGGCAGCUCAUGCCUGUAAUCCCAGCACUUUGGGAGGCCAAGGCAGGCGGAUCAUGAGGUCAGGAGUUCAAGACCAGCCUGACCAACAUGGUGAAACCCCGUUUCUACUAAAAAUACAAAAAUUAGCCAGGCAUGGUGGUGCGCACCUGUAAUCCCAGCUACUAAGGAGGCUGAGGCAGGAGAAUCUCUUGAACCUGGGAGGUGGAGGUUGCAGUGAGCCGAGAUCGCAUCACUGCACUCCAGCCUGGGUGACAGAGUGAGACUCCGUCUCAAAAAAAAAAAAGAGAAAAGGUAACAGGCUGCUGACAUCACCCCUAUAGCCAGCUUUAGUCAAGCCACAAGGGCAGUUCCUGCUUAAAAAAAAAAAAAAGUCUCUCAUACAUUCCUUUAAUUAAAGAUCUCUAAUUAAAAGUUCCCUCUUCAAUACACUGUGGACAAUUUUUGAAAGGAUUAGAUUUAUGUCUAAUUGACAUGUUAUUACAAAUCCAAUAAUAAAGCAAAUGAUUUGGUGGUAAAACUUAAUGUACAAAAAUAAAUAUAGACUCUGAGAAGCAAAAAUCAUUCUAACUACACAUUGACUGCGAAACAGCUGGCACCAAAACACUUUCCAUAAAAGGGAAGGCUGAAUGAUCUGUUGAGGUUUCCACUGCAGACAAACUGAGACUAUCCCCUCUGGUUAGGGGUUUGACUUUGCCUGUUUGGCAGGCAUUCCCUAUGCCAACAGUUGGGAGUGUAGACGGGUAGGGAAGGUCAGCAAAGUAUGCACACACCCCUCAAACGUCUGCCAGCUAGGUGGGUUCACUACAUGCAUUAUAGGUCAUACCCACCCACAUCUGCUCUUACCACUUUCCUUCCUAGUUCAAAGGCACCUCCUUCCACCACUUCAGAAUAACUCACAAGCUGCUGCCCUGCCAACUCCCAUGUCCUCAGCACACUUUGAGUCUCUUUUCAAGCCCACAGAUUCAAAGGUAUAUGAUCCUGUGAAGACGGGGGCAGAUUUUCUGACAGAGCUUGCAAGAUGAGGCUUGAGAACCCAGGAGAUUCGGCCACACUGUUGGACAGGGUCUCACUCUGUUGCUGAGGCUGUAGUGAAGUGGCAGAAUCAUAGCUCUCUGCAACCUUGCACUCCUGGGCUCAAGCAAUCCUGAUACCUCAGCCUCUCGAGUAGCUGGGACUAUAGGAAUACGCCACUGUACCUGGCACUCCAUAUUUUUCUAAAUGUUUGUUUCAGAUGAUGUUCUACCCAUAACGUACUCACUCAGUACCACAAAUUACUAUUUGAUAUUUUGUUUUCACAUUAAAAUUGUCUUUAUGAAAAACAAAUAGAACUGAAUUUUGUCAAGUCUUAAAAGUGAUCUCUAGAAUGCCUCUGUAUUCCAUUUGCAAAUAUGUACUACCAAGACUUUAUUUUGAGAAUUGUACUAUGAAAGCCUUUACAUGCGGUUGUCAAAGCGGUAAAUGAAAUAGGAUGUGCAGAAAAAGAAAACAUAAUAAUAGUAAUAAUAAUAAUAACAACAGCUCAAAGAGAGGUCUGGUCUUCGUUUUUAGUUACUUGGAAGUAACUUCUAAACACUUGGAAUUUUGAGAGUGAUUGGAAUGUCUUUGUUAUUCAUGGUAAUCCCCUCGUACCACAUCUGAUAAUUAAUGCCAAUGAGAUGACUCAGAAAGGAGCAAGCCAUGCCAGAAAGACAAAACGUAUGAUUGUAGUUUUGUCUAGUUUUGGAGUUUGGGGCCAAGUGAUAUCAGCCUCACCUCCCAGGAUUGGGGUGCUAGAGAUCAAGCUCAACUGUGUGGAUGCUGAUUCCAUUAAUCCUGACUAUGUAAUGAAACCCCAAUAAAAUCACUAGCCCCUAGAGACUCUGAUGAGCUUUCUGGGUUGCCAAUACUCUGGUCAUAUUGUCACACAUCUAUCUAUUUGUAGAGCUUAAUGCACGCCUGAUGCAAAGAGAGAUUCAAGUUUUGGGAUCCUCCCAGUUUCCAUCCUACGCAUUUUUUUCUUUAGAUGGUUCUAAUUUGUAUCCUUUGCUAUAAUAAAACUGUAAUUGUAAAUACAG
rnacentral:lncRNA from 1 species